rnacentral:rRNA from 1 species
UACGUAGGCAGCAAGCGUUGUUCGGAGUUACUGGGCGUAAAGGGUGUGUAGGCGGUUCUUUAAGUUUGCUGUGAAAUCUCCCGGCUUAACCGGGAGGGUGCGGUGAAUACUGAGGGACUAGAGUACGGGAGAGGAAAGUGGAAUUGGCAGUGUAGCAGUGAAAUGCGUAGAGAUUGCCAGGAACACCAAUGGCGAAGGCAGCUUGCUGGGCUUCUUCUGACGCUGAGGUACGAAAGCGUGGGGAGCGAACAGG